rnacentral:misc_RNA from 1 species
AACGGUCUAUACCUGCGGUACCUGCGGAGGGAUCAUUGAAGAACGCCGCGCCUGCGAGCGUGUAGGCAACCAACCUAUUUGUGCCAACUGUACAUGUGCAGAGUGGGGUGGGGGAAGCUGGUGUGCUUCUCCAAUAAAAUAUGGUGGACCAUUGACUGAGUAUGAUGACGAUGAAUAGUAGUAGUGGUAGUGGCAACAGCAGCGGUGUGGUAGUAACGCGCGGCUGCAGUUGUUAUUAGU